GCACAAGCGGUGGAUGAUGUGGUUUAAUUCGAUGCAACGCGAAAACCUUAACCCACCUUUGACAUGUACGGAAUCCUUUAGAGAUAGAGGAGUGCUCGAAAGAGAACCGUAACACAGGUGCUGCAUGGCUGUCGUCAGCUCGUGUCGUGAGAUGUUGGGUUAAGUCCCGCAACGAGCGCAACCCUUGUCAUUAGUUGCUACAUUCAGUUGGGCACUCUAAUGAGACUGCCGGUGACAAACCGGAGGAAGGUGGGGAUGACGUCAAGUCCUCAUGGCCCUUAUAGGUGGGGCUACACACGUCAUACAAUGGAUGGUACAAAGGGUCGCCAACCCGCGAGGGGGAGCCAAUCCCAUAAAGCCAUUCGUAGUCCGGGUCGCAGUCUGCAACUCGACUGCGUGAAGUCGGAAUCGCUAGUAAUCGUGGAUCAGAAUGUCACGGUGAAUACGUUCCCGGGUCUU
rnacentral:rRNA from 1 species